GGGGGUGUAGCUUAGUGGUAGAGCGUGUGCUUUGCAUGCACAAGGCCCUGAGUUCAAUCCCCAGCACCCCCG